UAUAAUGUCACACCUGGUAAAUUAACUAUCACACUUUGUAUUUCUAAUUUUUUUUAUUCUCUUGUUUAACAAAGUUAUGCAAUUUAAAAUUUGGAUAUAAUGAAACAAAAAAGAUGUUUUUUCAAAAUUUCAUCAUAGGAUUUGAAAAUAGAUUUAGAAAACAAAUCCAAAUACUCUAGUAAGUUUGGAAACAAAAAUGCUAUGUGAGAUGAGUAUAAACUAGCGGUGUUAAAGAAAACUGAAUGAGCUUGAAAAAACUUAUCAUCAAUCCAAAUCCCACCCGUGGAGUUUGGAUUUGUGAGGCCUUGAUCGUGUUAUGUGAUAAGAUUCCUGCAGUAAGAUUGGCCUAUGCCAUAAAACCAUUAUGUGGCAGAAGAGAUUGCAAAAUAAUUUGUGUUUUGCGUUUUAAGCUACGCAACAAGAAAGACUACGUGAUGAAUUGUUCUGUGAUAUGAGCUUCCUUCACAAGGAAGUAGUGAUGUCAUUCUCAUGUAAGAAAGCCGAUUCUCACCACCGAAUAGAGUCGGUUAAUCAUUUAUAUAUGGAAAAGUGUCAUCAGAGAGGCAGAAGUCCGUUCAUUUUGAAGCUACUUUUACCUUGUGUUCACUUAAGAAAAAAUUGGAAAAUUUUCAAAAUGUUCAGAGAUUUUUCACGAGCUUGAAUCCGACAAAGAAUUGCAAGGAAGUGCAAGAAAGCUCUUUGCUAAUGAGCUGGACGAAAAAGCUAGCUGAUUGUUGAUUGUGAGUGGUUAUUCCUAAAAAUGUUUUAAAAAACAAAAGAAUUUCUAAUGUGUUUAUCUUUAAAUGUAUUUUAUGAAAUCUCUAAGUUAUAUGCUUUCUCUUAUACCUUUCCAUUUCUUAAAAUGCAUGUGAUUUAUAAAUGAAUGAGAUUUAAUAUAUAUGAACUGAAAUGAUGACAUAAGAUCCAUGAUCUUGUGUACCCUGUGUGAUGAGAUUUCCUCAAACCAAUCCAAUACAAAAUUUUCAUAAUUGGAUUGUCUUGGAUUGGGUUCAUUUUUUCUAAAUGAUUAUUUGGGUGAAGAACAGGUCGGAAAGAAGCAUAUAGUUUAGUUGCAUUAUUGGAAUUGCUUUGGUUCAUUUGGCUAGAACAAAAUUAUAGUAUAGCUUAAAAAAUAGUGGAAACCUUUCGAGCUAGUUAUGGGAAAAUGUCCUCAAUCUUGCUGCUCUUUGGUGUUCCAAAAACACUCUUUUUUGUAACUAUAGCAUUGCUACCAUAACGCUUAACUAAGCAUUUAUGUAAUCUCUUAUUGACUUUUCGAGCUUCUAAUCUCGAGCUGGUUUCAUAUCUUUUGAUUGAUGAAUGAUAUCACUUUUAAUCUUCA